CACACGGAGAAAUGAAUAGCAUGAAAAAGUAGUUCUGCUCUACAAAUGUGGAUAUCUAGAUCACAUAAGUAGUUUCAGAUUAAAGGUAUAUACCCCAUAGAAGGGCAAUGAAUUGGGAAUGUAUCCGAUGGGUGCUGAAACUGACGUAAGAGGGAAUUGUGAUAAUAAAUUCUUACAAAGUAUCUUUUUCAAAAUAGAAGAGAAAGGUGUGACAUCCUGAAAUUCGAGUCCUCUGAGGAAUGAAUGGAUGUGAAUUUCGUCAAUGCAUUGUUGGUUGAUCUCACUCGGAAUUGAUCACUCCUGAGAUACUGACCUUGAGGGGAAAGGCUAAUGAGGACAGAACUCGUACGACUAGAGGACUCGACCUGGGAAAACGACUUGACCGUGAGAUUUACGUGAGGACGAUCCUGUAGAUAGGUAAGCCGAUUCUAAGGACGACUAAAAGUCGAUUCGCGGACAGAACAUAAUGGAACGACGGGUGAUUCCGUUUACUGUUAUCGAAUCCACGAACGACCCUAUGUCGAUCCUCAGUAAUCGUGUACUUUGAAAUAAGAAUCUAUCCCUCGUAAUUUCAUGCAGUCAAGGACGUCCAUGCGUCGAGAUGUCUUGAACGUGAUUUGAUACGAGUCGGUCACGCGUGAAUCCUCAAAGCCACCCGUCAGUUUGAGUUGUAACCGAAAUAGCAUUUGGCAAAAUUGACAUGGCAAGAGAACUUAUUAUUGGACUUCGAAUUAUCGGGAAUGUCCAGGACGGACUUUGGAUGAAGCUACAUCAAACAAUCGACAGAGCCAGUUAAGCCGAGCAAUUGGAAAAGGGAUUUUCGGACCGAGGAAGCGAGCCCGUGAGAUCGUGGGCCGGGACAAGCCAGUGUGGGCCCUAGGCCCAAAGUUGGACAGCCACCUUAAUAGGCCUAAGUCAAGCAAAUAGGCCCAUUGGGCCAAACCUACUAUUUAUCUUCUAAGCCCAGGGGCUAAUUCUUAUCCAUUUCAAGCUCAACAAAUUCCCAAGCCCAUUCCUAUUCAUGGCCAAGCCCAAUCCUUAGGCCCAUCCACCAAUUUCAGCCCAAGGUCAGAUUUGUAAUUUGUGCAAGGUGAAAUGACCAAAAUACCCCUAGUGGUAGGGAGAAAAGGCUAGAGAAGAGAGAGAAAAUGAUGAUGGCUUGGCAUGGGGACUUGAAGCAAGCAUUUAUGGGGGUCUUGACAGCCCUCACUUCACUCUCUCUCUCCCCCAUUCGGCCUCCAAACCGGACGAGCUCCUCUCUUCCUCGUUUUCUCUCUCCUUCAGUUUCUGCUCCAGCUGACCCUUCAGUGAAGAAUCGAGUCAAAAGUGGUCUUCCCGGAUGAAUCAGCCAACGAGCCACCUAUCACCGUGACCAGGAGAGACAGAACGUUCCAACGAGCCCAAUUUCGUCCCGAACGGAGCCACCGGCCGGCCUGGGCGCCGCCGUGAAGGAACCGGUCGCCGGUCCGUCGGUCCGCCUGCAGCCUGCACUGUUUCGCGUUUUCGGCCAUUUUUCUCCCAUUCCGGUCCUUCCUCCGCCCAUCCCAACCUCCAGCAAGAUCCCCAAGACCCCCGGGAGCCACCAGUUGCCAACCACCCGCUUGCCGGAGCUCCGAUCGGCCUGUUUUCGCCAUUGAAGCUGCUGGUUUCUUCUCUGCAGUUCAGCCAAGAUCAGAAGCAGAAGACAGCAAGGUUUUGGAGACCUUGUGGCCCAUUUUCAAGCCCUUCCCGGCCUCCGUUGGUGUCGCCGCUUUGGGGUUUAUCGACCUCCUUGGUGUCGUGGUCGCCGUGAACUCACCGGCGCUCAAAACCGGUGAGUUUAUCCUCUAAUUCUUGCUUAGUGAGUUAAUGACAUUUAAUGGGUGUUUAGAUUAGUCUAAUUAGGUUUAUGUGAUUAAAUUAGAUUAUUUUAAUGUAAAUUAGAUUAGUUGUAUGAUUAGUUUAAUGGGUGUUUAAUUAGGGCUAAUGGUAUGAUUAAAUUAGUGUAAUCUUGUUUAAGCCCUAAUUAAUUAUUUUUAAUUAAUUAAUUAUUUUGAAUUUAUAAAUAUUAUUUUAUUAAAUUAUAUUAUUAUAAAAUAAUAUUUAAUUAUUUAAUUUUCGGAAUUAAAUUUAAUUAUUUAAUAAUUUCGAAAAUUAUGCCGAGAUGGCCGGUCGUUAGAAUUUCGCGCUGAUCGCAGCAGUGCAGUCAAUUUGUGUUAAUUGUAUGUUUAAAUUGAGAAAUUGAGUGAUUGAUGAUUAUGGUUAAUAAUUCCAAAAGUGUGGAAUUGUGUGAAAUUAAUGAAGUUGUGGUAUUUAACUUGAAAAUACCCGGUGUUGGCUUUUAGCACCGUAAUUGGUUUGUAUGACUAGUUUGAAUCGAUUGGAUUGAUUGAUUGAUUGAAUUGAGGUAUGAGUUGGUUUAUUAUUGAAUGAUCAGCUUUGGCGAGCAUUUGUUUAUAUAUAUGUAUCAGCUUGGGCGAGCAAUUAUGAUAUGCACAUAUAUAUAUGGCAGCUUCCGAUGAGCUAUAGUAUACUAUAUUGAAUAUUGCGGCAGCUUCUGGUGAGCUAAGAUCGUUUUAUCAGCUGUGCGAGCACGAUCUAUAUAUAUAUCAGCUUGUGAGAGCAACGAUCCAUAUAUCAGCUUGUGCGAGCUAUCAUCUAUGUAUAUAUCAGCCUUGUGCGAGCUACCAUCUAUAUCAACUUGUGAGAGCAUUGCAUCCAUUUCAGCUUGUGCGAGCCAUAAUUGUAUUGAUGGAUGAAUAGAUGGUAUGGUUUAAUAGAUGAUAUGAAUUGAUAGAUGUGUGGAUCGUAUGAUAUCAAUUGGAUUGACUGAAUUGAUAGACCGAUGGAUAUGUCGGUAGUUUCAGCUUGUGCGAGCAUUGCUUGAAUAUGAAUUGUACUGACGUGCAGGAAAGGGACUGAGGCGAGGUAAGUCCUCUAUCAUAUUUGUGUGGCUAGAGCGCCCUGAGGCGUAUUUUCUUCCUAAUUGAGUUUUAGAGGGUAGGACUUGCUGAGACGUAAUCUCAUCCCGGCUGUGGGAUAAUAUUUCAGGUCCCUAGAUGACGGUCAUGGAGGACCGGAAGUCCUGGAGUUCGGAAGGUGGAGGUUGAAGAAUCAGCGAACGUGUUUGACAAGUUGGUCAUAGGACAGUUCCCUAGUUGUUGAGCCUGUCUAUUUUGUAGACAAUCCAGUGUUGUAUAUAAACCUAUGUGUUUAUAAGAAAGCUUGUUUGGUUGUGAUUGAUUGCCUGCUUUUCUAUCCCAAGUUAAAUGUUGUCAGGGGAUUUGUUUCGCUUCCGCAUGCGUAAUAAAAAUGAAUGGGUCGGUGACGUGUCAUGGGAAGUCGCAUUUCUAUCGAUCAGAGUGGGAUGUUCGCGCGCUCGGAGGAUCGGGGCGUGACAAAAGGCAUCUGGGCAACUUCCUUCAAAGUGUGAUAAUCACGUUAGGUUUUAAUCAGGGAACAUGAGAUCAAUAUUUCUAUACACAAGGGUAACAAGCUAAAUAGAGAGCCCAAUCCGAUAAGAUCACCCAACUAAAGCUUCCAUGUACAUUGUCAAGUGAUCAAACUUUAGAUCAAAUAUGAAAAACUAGACUAUUAGAUGGAGGGUAAUUGAAAAACCAUUGUUGAGGACAACCUCAAGAAGACAACCCCAAACCCCCAAUGGUUUCCUUCUCUUUCUCUCGUUAUAGUCUCAAGGUUCUGAUCACUCAGGCAAAGAAAUGAAAAAUAUAGGCACAACUUUAUGGUAAUAGGCAUUUGGAUAGAAAUAUCUACAUACAAACCCUAUUAACAAUAAGUCCUAAACUAGCCAAUUAUUUCAGCUCAAAUAAUUAAAAAGUUGGCUAAACCCAAAAGCAAAAGCUUUUUAUUAAAUUAUUGCAAUGUUUACAGAAACCAAUUAUGGUAAUAGGCAUUUGGAUAGAAUAUCUACAUACAAACCCUAUCAACAAUAAGUCCUAAACUAGCCAUACAAGAAAUGGUUAUUGCAACUCAAAUAAUUGAAGAGUUGGCUAAACCCAAAAGCAAAAGCUUUUUAUUAAAUGAUCGCCGUUUAUAGAAACCAAUUUUGAGCCCAGGUAAUCAUACUUAAACUCCUGUUAUGGAUACAAAGAGAU
rnacentral:lncRNA from 1 species